rfam:Mycoplasma columbinum SF7 contig1, whole genome shotgun sequence.
GCCGUCAUAGCUCAGCAGGUAGAGCACAUCCAUGGUAAGGAUGGGGUCGCAGGUUCAAGUCCUGUUGUCGGCA